rnacentral:lncRNA from 1 species
CUGUUGUUGUUGCUGUCAUUUAAUUCUGACAAACCUGCAUGUGGGAAAUUGGUAGCUUAGGUGUUCUUCGUGCCCUGCUGCCUGUCCAGCUGGACCACAGGGAAGCCCAGGGCUACCAGGGAUAAAGGAUAAUGACCCAUGCCAAAAGGGUAGGAUUGUCCAGGAAUGGUUCUACGAACAUUACAGUAAAUUCAGCUUACUGCAGUGGCUUGCCCAGUCACCAGAUCUCAAUCCAAUUGAGCAUCUGUGUGAUGAGAUGGAGUGAACUAUUCGGAGUAGAGAUCCACUACCAGCCAACUUGAUACAACUAUGGGAAGC